rnacentral:rRNA from 1 species
AAAGAUAAUAGUAAGUACGUUUGCAUAUCUGCCACUGCAGCAUCAUCUUACGUUGGUGGGGUAUUUGCCUACCAAGGAUUCGACGCUUACGGGGAAUUAGGGUUUGACUCCGGAGAAUGAGCAUGAGAAACAGCUCAUACAUCUAAGGAAGGCAGCAGGCGCGGAAAUUGCCCAAUGUAUUCGUUACGAGGCAGUGACAAGAAAUGAAGGGUACUUUUGUACACCAUCUAGGGCCUGUUAUAUCUAAGCUAACCGGUUAUUCGUGGGAAAGCUCGGUGCCAGCAGCCGCGGUAAUUCCGACACGGAGAGUAUUCUAUUGUGUUGCUGCAGUUAAAAAGUUCGUAGUUUAUUUUCUUUUUCACUAUAAGUAAAUCUAAGUGUUUAUAACUACUUAACUGUUUUUAUAGUAUGAAAUUAUAAUGCGGUAUUUGGCGUAGUUUGGGGUACUCGAUAGGGACAGGUGAAAUAGGAUGAUCUAUCGAAGACCAACGGUAGCGGAGGCUCCCAACGCAGNUCUAAGUAUCACGAUCAAGAACUAAAGUCAGGGGAUAGACGACGAUUAGAAACCGUUUUAUUCCUGACCCUAAACGAUGUCGCCUAGCUGAUGGGGUUUUUACUUCAUUUGCCAAGAGAAAUCGUAAGGUUUCAGACUCUGGGGGAAGUAUGAUCGCCAAGGUUGAAACUUGAAGGGAUUGACGGAGAGGUACCACCAGACGUGGAGUCUGCGGCUCAAUUUGACUCAACACGCAAAUCUUACUAGGCCCAGAAGCU